rnacentral:rRNA from 1 species
UACGUAGGGAGCAAGCGUUGUUCGGAUUUACUGGGCGUAAAGGGCGCGUAGGCGGCAAAUUAAGUCAGCUGUGAAAUCUCCGAGCUUAACUCGGAACGGUCAGCUGAUACUGAUCUGCUAGAGUGCGGAAGGGGCAAUCGGAAUUCUUGGUGUAGCGGUGAAAUGCGUAGAUAUCGGAAGGAACAUCAGUGGCGAAGGCGACUUCCUGGACCAAUACUGACGCUCAGGUGCGAAAGCGUGGGGAGCAAACAGG